UACCAAAGCAGAGAAAGCCUGGGAGGU
rnacentral:piRNA from 1 species